UUCCUACGGGGGGCAGCAGUGGGGGAUAUUGCACAAUGGGCGAAAGCCUGACCGAGCAACGCCGCGUGAAUGAAGAAGGCCUUCGGGUUGUAAAAUUCUGUUAUAAGGGAAGAAAGGUGAUAGGAGGAAAUGACUAUCAAUUGACGGUACCUUAUGAGAAAGCCACGGCUAACUACGUGCCAGCAGCCGCGGUAAUACGUAGGUGGCAAGCGUUAUCCGGAAUUAUUGGGCG
rnacentral:rRNA from 1 species